UGUGAUCUUCAUUUUCUGAUGAGGGAACAGAGCCUCCGUGCCCCCGAGAUCACUGGGCUGGGGUGGAUGCCAACACUGGCCCCUGGGGUUGUUGGUGAGAAACCUCGAUCAGCAAGAGGCCAGGGAGUGCUGGAGGCUGCUCUGGGGCUUCCGCCCGCUGGCCGCUGAGGCUCCAGGUGUCCUGUGGGUUUAUCUUCCAUUUGCACCAGUACUCACAUCUCCCUGAAAGUACAAUCUGAUGGUGGGAUCCUCUCUCUUUUUCUGGAGUUAAUUACUAUCCCCUUGGGGAAUAUGGAAAUGCAACCAGCACACAGGAAGCUGCUUUCUCUCCAGGCUGGAUGCAGACGACAAGGCUAUAUGGGACAAUGGAGCAAUAUUCCUAAAUUGCUAUAUGGGGGAGAACCACCUGCCAACUUGAACAACUGGUGUAGACUGCUCUGCAGCAAGGAAGUAAACUCCAUAGCAGCUCUGCUCUGUUCAUCAUUGUUUCUUCAGGGCCUACCUGGGACCUGGCACAGAGGAGAUGCUCUGUGUGUGUUUGUUGAUUGGAACUAAACUUUUACUUUUCUGACAUCUUUGUCACAAAGCCAUGAAGAAAUUACAUAUCCUUAUGACAAUUUACUUAGAGUAAAUAAAAUACUAUUUUUGUGUAAAAUGUGAGAUUGC
rnacentral:lncRNA from 10 species